GACGAACGCUGGCGGCGUGCUUAACACAUGCAAGUCGAACGGUGAUGCUCCAGCUUGCUGGAGUGGAUCAGUGGCGAACGGGUGAGUAACACGUGAGCAACCUGCCCCAGACUCUGGAAUAAGCGCUGGAAACGGCGUCUAAUACUGGAUACGAAACUGGCCCGCAUGGGCAUGGUUUGGAAAGUUUUUCGGUUUGGGAUGGGCUCGCGGCCUAUCAGCUUGUUGGUGAGGUAAUGGCUCACCAAGGCGACGACGGGUAGCCGGCCUGAGAGGGCGACCGGCCACACUGGGACUGAGACACGGCCCAGACUCCUACGGGAGGCAGCAGGGGGGAAUAUUGCACAAUGGGCGAAAGCCUGAUGCAGCGACGCCGCGUGAGGGAUGACGGCCUUCGGGUUGUAAACCUCUUUCAGCAGGGAAGAAGCGAAAGUGACGGUACCUGCAGAAGAAGCACCGGCUAACUACGUGC
rnacentral:rRNA from 1 species